rnacentral:rRNA from 1 species
AAGUUAGCGGCGGACGGGUGAGUAACACGUGGGUAACCUGCCCAUAAGACUGGGAUAACUCCGGGAAACCGGGGCUAAUACCGGAUAACAUUUUGAACCGCAUGGUUCGAAAUUGAAAGGCGGCUUCGGCUGUCACUUAUGGAUGGACCCGCGUCGCAUUAGCUAGUUGGUGAGGUAACGGCUCACCAAGGCAACGAUGCGUAGCCGACCUGAGAGGGUGAUCGGCCACACUGGGACUGAGACACGGCCCAGACUCCUACGGGAGGCAGCAGUAGGGAAUCUUCCGCAAUGGACGAAAGUCUGACGGAGCAACGCCGCGUGAGUGAUGAAGGCUUUCGGGUCGUAAACUCUGUUGUUAGGGAAGAACAAGUGCUAGUUGAAUAAGCUGGCACCUUGACGGUACCUAACCAGAAAGCCACGGCUAACUACGUGCCAGCAGCCGCGGUAAUACGUAGGUGGCAAGCGUUAUCCGGAAUUAUUGGGCGUAAAGCGCGCGCAGG